rnacentral:rRNA from 1 species
UACGAAGGGGGCUAGCGUUGUUCGGAAUUACUGGGCGUAAAGCGCGCGCAGGCGGUCUUCCAAGUCAGUGGUGAAAGCCUGGAGCUCAACUCCAGAACUGCCACUGAAACUGUUAGACUUGAGUACGAGAGAGGUGAGUGGAAUUCCCAGUGUAGAGGUGAAAUUCGUAGAUAUUGGGAAGAACACCAGUGGCGAAGGCGGCUCACUGGCUCGUAACUGACGCUCAGGCGCGACAGCGUGGGGAUCAAACAGG